GCAGCCAUCAUUUAAAGAAAGCGUAAUAGCUCACUGGUCGAGUCGGCCUGCGCGGAAGAUGUAACGGGGCUAAACCAUGCACCGAAGCUGCGGCAGCGAACGUAUCACUUAAAGCGAUUCAGCGGAUUACGAUUGACGGAGCGAAGCGACGUCAAAGCGUAUACAAAGUCGAGUCGGUUUAAGGAUACGUUCGUUGGGUAGGGGAGCGUUCUGUAAGCCUGUGAAGGUGGCCUGUGAGGGUUGCUGGAGGUAU
rnacentral:rRNA from 1 species